rnacentral:lncRNA from 1 species
UAGAUUGGAAGGAUCCUAGCCUUCUUUUGGAGCUUGAGUGAGAAUUUCUACUCCCUAGGUGAGUUUUUGCCCUACUCUUGUGAUUGUUAUUGUUCGAGCCUAGAGUUGCUCGUAAUGCUUGUGUAUCACUUCGCUGAUCACUUUUAGGGUAUUUGGAGGCUCGUGGACAACUCCGUUCGGCGAAUCGAAGGAGCACGCGACGGUUCGGUGGGUUUGACCUAGCCUAUGAUAUGAG